rnacentral:rRNA from 1 species
UGCCAGCAGCCGCGGUAACACGUAGGGAGCGAGCGUUGUCCGGAUUUAUUGGGCGUAAAGAGCUCGUAGGCUGUUCAGUAAGUCAGGUGUGAAAACUCGAGGCUCAACCUCGAGACGCCACCUGAAACUGCUGUGACUAGAGUCCGGUAGGGGAGUGUGGAAUUCCUGGUGUAGCGGUGAAAUGCGCAGAUAUCAGGAGGAACACCAGCAGCGAAGGCGGCACUCUGGGCCGGUACUGACGCUCAGGAGCGAAAGCAUGGGGAGCGAACAGGAUUAGAUA